GUCUACAUAGCUUUGUUUCAUGUAACAUGAGAAAACAGACACAUAACAUAUUACUUCCUUUUGUGUUUAGCCAAGCACAUCUGUACAGCAGCCUGUGGUGCAUCAUGUUGCCUGCCAGACAGACCAACCAGUGACAUGCACAGUUGGCACACAGCUUUCCAUGAGAACUCUCCAGCCUCACUUCAGAAGCACAGGCACACAGAAAUCAGUGUCCUGUGCUGAUGUUGGAGUUGGCACCUCAACCAUUGCCUUCUCAACUUCUCAACCAUUCUUAUCAUCAACCCCAAUAAAGAGACCACGCAAAAGGGCUCGCUUGGAACUGGAGGAGGAGGAAGAGGAGAAUCCAUUGGAGGGCAGUUCAUCCAUGGACAUUCCCGACCCCAAGGAUUCUUCAUAUGAUCCUGAGGACUCUGUCACAGUUUUGUCUGAGUCAGCAGACGUGACACUGGAGCCUUCCUGCCCUGUUCAUAAGACACCAACAUAUAUUGUCUAUGAAAAGUGUCUGAUGGAGCUGUUUGAGGUGUGCCCUGUCUGUCAGCGUGUGUCAGACAUGCAGACAAGAAGGAUAGGCACAUUCCUCUCUGUAGAACAGACAUGCCCACAUUGUCAGUUCUUCAGAAAAUGAAACAGCCAGCCAAUUCUGGGAAGCACACCUGCAGGAAACCUCCAGCUUUCCGCUGCAGUAUACACCACAGGUACAUCUUUCUUCAAACUUGAAAAGAUCUUCCGGGCAAUGCAGCUGAAGAUGUUUCGGUAUGACACUUUUUGCCAUCAUGCACGGAUGUACAUAGAGCCUG